GAUGAACGCUGGCGGCGUGCCUAAUACAUGCAAGUCGAGCGAACGGACGAGACGCUUGCUUCUCUGAUGUUAGCGGCGGACGGGUGAGUAACACGUGGAUAACCUACCUAUAAGACUGGGAUAACUUCGGGAAACCGGCGCUAAUACCGGAUAAUAUUUUGAACCGCAUGGUUCAAAAGUGAAAGACGGUCUUGCUGUCACUUAUAGAUGGAUCCGCGCUGCAUUAGCUAGUUGGUAAGGUAACGGCUUACCAAGGCAACGAUGCAUAGCCGACCUGAGAGGGUGAUCGGCCACACUGGAACUGAGACACGGUCCAGACUCCUACGGGAGGCAGCAGUAGGGAAUCUUCCGCAAUGGGCGAAAGCCUGACGGAGCAACGCCGCGUGAGUGAUGAAGGUCUUCGGAUCGUAAAACUCUGUUAUUAGGGAAGAACAUAUGUGUAAGUAACUGUGCACAGCUUGACGGUACCUAAUCAGAAAGCCACGGCUAACUACGUG
rnacentral:rRNA from 1 species